GAUGAACGCUGGCGGCGUGCUUAACACAUGCAAGUCGAACGAAGAUGCCGGAGUGCUUGCACUUUGGCAGACUGAGUGGCGGACGGGUGAGUAACGCGUGGGUAACCUGCCUUAUACAGGGGGAUAACAGUUGGAAACGACUGCUAAUACCGCAUAAGCGCACGGUAUCGCAUGAUACAGUGUGAAAAACUCCGGUGGUAUGAGAUGGACCCGCGUCUGAUUAGCUAGUUGGUGGGGUAACGGCCUACCAAGGCGACGAUCAGUAGCCGACCUGAGAGGGUNACCGGCCACAUUGGGACUGAGACACGGUCCAAAACUCCUACGGGAGGCAGCAGUGAGGAAUAUUGGUCAAAUGGACGAGAGUCUG
rnacentral:rRNA from 1 species